rnacentral:rRNA from 1 species
UUACCCACUCCCGGCACGGGGARGGUAGUGACAAAAAAAUAACGAUACGGGACUCUUAUGAGGCCCCGUAAUCGGAAUGAGUACACUUUAAAUCCUUUAACAAGGAUCCAUUGAAGGGCAAGUCUGGUGCCAGCAGCCGCGGUAAUUCCAGCUUCAAUAGCGUAUAUUAAAGUUGUUGCGGUUAAAAAGCUCGUAGUUGGUUCUGCGUGCCACGCUGUCGGUUCGCCGCCUGCCGGUGUAACUGGCAUGCCGUGGCAUGUCCUGUCGGUGGCGUUCGGGAGCCUCGUCUAGGCGCCGGCCCUUGCCCAAAGCUUGGUGCUCGGAGGCCGGGGGUAUACCCGUUCGCCUACUCUAUCCUACCUAGGUGCUCUUCACCGAGUGUCGAGGUAGGCCGACACGUUUACUUUGAACAAAUUAGAGUGCUCAAAGCAGGCUGAAAUCUCUGCCUGAAUAGUGGUGCAUGGAAUAAUAAAACAGGACCUUGGUUCUAUUUUGUUGGUUCUUAAGAACACAAGGUAAUGAUCAAUACGGACAGGCGGGGGCAUUCGUAUUGCGACGUUAGAGGUGAAAUUCUUGGAUCGUCGCAAGACGCACAAGAGCGAAAGCAUUUGCCAAGUAUGUCUCGAUUGAUCAAGAACGAAAGUUAGAGGUUCGAAGGCGAUCAGAUACCGCCCUAGUUCUAACCAUAAACGAUGCCAGCCAGCGAUCCGCCGAUGUUCCUCCGAUGACUCGGCGGGGAGCUUCUUCCCGGGAAACCAAAGCUUUUGGGUUCCGGGGGAAGUAUGGUUGCAAAGCUGAAACUUAAAGGAAUUGACGGARGGGCACCACCAGGAGUGGAGCCUGCGGCUUAAUUUGACUCAACACGGGAAACCUCACCAGGCCAGGACAUUGGA